UCCAACCACGUCCAGGGAGUUUCUCCAGCCUCAAGCUGACAAGGCUUCUGGGUUUCCAUGGGUGAGGAGGAUGAUGGUGUUGGCCAAGGCCAGGUGGGCGAGGAUCAGUUCGGAGGAGCUGGGCUUGGGGCUGGCGGAGAUGACACUUGCAUAGAACAGGAGGAGGAAGACGUUUGCUACAGAUCCGAUGCUGAUCUGCAACAGAAUCGCGGUGCCAAAGGAGAGCUCCGUGCCAUCCAUCCUCUCCAAACCUCAGUUAGAAGCAGAAGAGGGCUCCAGCAGGGUGACCUAGGAUGGGGAAUCAGAGAGAGAGAGAAUAUGAGAAGACAGAGAGAACACUCCGAGCAUCCUCAGUCCCCAGAGCCCGGGCCUGCCUUGGGGACGUGGUCCUGGUAAUGGAAAGGUGGGAGCCCUGGGAAAAUGUCCUUCAGCCCUGAUUCCCAGCCCAGAGCUCCAGGCUGGAGCUGCAGAGUCCCGAAGGAAAGACCUGAAAAAUCACCGACAGAGAGACAGCUUCAUCCUACUCACCCAUCUCCAUCGCUUGUGCUGGCUGGGUGGGCGGUGCACGGACAGUCAGAGUCCGGCAGGAAGAGGUUGAGGCAGCAUUUAUCAGCCCUUCUCCCCUCCUUCGGGAAGUGAUUAGCGUGUGUUGUGAAUGAGUGACUUGCUGAGCACUAGUUCACUCUGACACUCCAACUGAGACUUCUCCGGAAAUGCUCAGUCUUCCCUCCCUGCUGCCUCAGGGUCAAGACGAGCCCGGAUCUCUCUCCGCAAUCACCUGCCGUGAAUUGACCAUCAGAGAUGUCCAUGAAGAGAUAUGGCAGCAUCAGGGUUGUAUCCUGCAACACCGGUGACAUCCCAGCUCCCAUGCACAGCCCAGCUCUGCCAGGAGCCAAGCCUGGGUCUCUAGUGGGUGUCUGACAGUCUCCCUCGCAGGGUCACUCAGGGUCACAAGCGCUACUUGCCCCAGCCCCCAUCACUCUCCUACCUGUCUUUAUGUCUCAUCAUCAUCGAUCUGCUCAGCCAGGUAUCAUGAGUUGGUACACUCGAGAGGUGGGAGUUGCUGCUUUAUUUCAUUCCCAGUCUGGCAGCCAAAGGACCUGAGUUGGGCUUUUUCUCUUAAGUGUAAUCAAGCUCAGAGCCUGGUCCAGUUUAGCGUCCCAGAACUGGGGGUAUCAAAUAUUCUGGCUUAGUUCCCACAUAUAUUCCAGGAAUAAAAGAAAAGCAAAGAGAAAACCUUUCCAGUGCCCACAUGCUAUGGCUCAGGUUUGAACCGAGGUUGCUGCAAACACAACGCAGAGUACUAACCACUAUACGAUCAUGGCGCACCACCAGAGUACAUCUUACUGUACUAGCCCUCUCUCCUUCAGAUAGAUCUAUAAAUCACUGAAUCCCGCUCUUUCCGCUUACUAUCAUUCUCUCUGAAGUUUUUCAGUUUCGAGUUUCUGCCCCAAAACCUCUUCACCUCUUAGCACAUCCCCUUUUAAUCAAUCAGUCAGUCAAUCAAUUGUAUUUAUUGAAGGCCUACUGUGAGCAAAGCACUAUACUGUAGAGAACUAUUCUUGAAGACUUGAGUGCACAAGGGUUUUGGUGACUCCACGAACCUGAGGCUCGGUGUCUUCUCCUUCCCCACCCUGUAUUACUUAGGGAGGUCCUGCCAGUUUGGUGACUCUCUGGAGAAUGUGCCCAUCCAUUCACACUGAUCCUCGUUUCGAUUGGACAGAUAACUACAAAUAUUAGUGAAUACAGCAGACCUUUGAUCUUGUUCUAUUGAGUGUUCCCCUAAAGCAUUACCUGUGUUGGGGAAUUAGCUCAGAUGGUAGAGUGCUUGCUUAGCAUGUGAGAGGUGGUGAGAUUGAUCCCCAUAUUCUCCAAUUUUCUUGGUUUUGGGCUAGAUAAAAGUCCCAGGAAGGCAUGGC
rnacentral:lncRNA from 1 species